UACAGAGGUCCCAAGCGUUGUUCGGAUUUAUUGGGCGUAAAGGGUGCGUAGGCGGCGCGGUAAGUCGGGUGUGAAAUCUCGGGGCUUAACUCCGAAACUGCAUUCGAUACUGCCGUGCUUGAGGACUGGAGAGGAGACUGGAAUUUACGGUGUAGCGGUGAAAUGCGUAGAUAUCGUAAGGAAGACCAGUGGCGAAGGCGGGUCUCUGGACAGUUCCUGACGCUGAGGCACGAAGGCCAGGGGAGCAAACGGG
rnacentral:rRNA from 1 species